GUGGGGAAUAUUGGACAAUGGGCGCAAGCCUGAUCCAGCCAUGCCGCGUGAGUGAUGAAGGCCUUAGGGUUGUAAAGCUCUUUCGUCAGGGAAGAUAAUGACGGUACCUGAAGAAGAAGCCCCGGCUAACUUCGUGCCAGCAGCCGCGGUAAUACGAAGGGGGCUAGCGUUGUUCGGAAUUACUGGGCGUAAAGCGCACGUAGGCGGACAUUUAAGUCAGGGGUGAAAUCCCAGAGCUCAACUCUGGAACUGCCUUUGAUACUGGGUGUCUUGAGUAUGGAAGAGGUAAGUGGAAUUCCGAGUGUAGAGGUGAAAUUCGUAGAUAUUCGGAGGAACACCAGUGGCGAAGGCGGCUUACUGGUCCAUUACUGACGCUGAGGUGCGAAAGCGUGGGGAGCAAACAGGAUUAGAAACCCCUGUAGUCC
rnacentral:rRNA from 1 species